UACGAAGGGGGCUAGCGUUGUUCGGAAUUACUGGGCGUAAAGGGCGCGCAGGCGGCUCUUCAAGUCAGAUGUGAAAGCCCCGGGCUCAACCCGGGAACUGCGUCCGAUACUGGCAGGCUUGAAUUCGGGAGAGGGAUGUGGAAUUCCAGGUGUAGCGGUGAAAUGCGUAGAUAUCUGGAGGAACACCGGUGGCGAAGGCGGCAUCCUGGACCGAGAUUGACGCUGAUGCGCGAAAGCCAGGGGAGCAAACGGG
rnacentral:rRNA from 1 species